CAAUAGCGUAUAUUAAAGUUGUUGCAGUUAAAAAGCUCGUAGUUGAAUUUCUGGUGGGCGCGCCGGUCUUCCAAGUGUUGUACUGGGCGCAGUCCGCCAUCCUUGUGGAGAGGGCUCGCAUUGAGUUGCGUGUCGGAUCUGCAUCAUUUACUGUGAAAAAAUUAGAGUGUUUAAAGCAGGCUGUCGCUUGAAUACAUUAGCAUGGAAUAAUAAGAUAGGACUUCGGUCUAUUUUGUUGGUUGCGAACCGAGGUAAUGAUUAAUAGGGAUAGUUGGGGGUAUUCAUAUUUAAUUGUCAGAGGUGAAAUUCUUGGAUUUAUGAAAGAUGAACAACUGCGAAAGCAUUUACCAAGGAUGGUUUCAUUAA
rnacentral:rRNA from 1 species